GGCGGUAUAGCUCAGUUGGCUAGAGCAAUCGGUUCAUACCCGAUGUGUCGAUGGUUCAAGUCCAUUUACCGCUACCA
rnacentral:tRNA from 1 species